rnacentral:rRNA from 1 species
AUUGAACGCUGGCGGCAUGCCUUACACAUGCAAGUCGAACGGCAGCGGACCUUCGGGUGCCGGCGAGUGGCGAACGGGUGAGUAAUAUAUCGGAACGUACCUUUCAGUGGGGGAUAACGUAGCGAAAGUUACGCUAAUACCGCAUAUUCUGUGAGCAGGAAAGCAGGGGAUCGCAAGACCUUGCGCUGAUUGAGCGGCCGAUAUCAGAUUAGCUAGUUGGUGAGGUAAAGGCUCACCAAGGCGACGAUCUGUAGCGGGUCUGAGAGGAUGAUCCGCCACACUGGAACUGAGACACGGUCCAGAUUCCUACGGGAGGCAGCAGUGGGGAAUUUUGGACAAUGGGCGCAAGCCUGAUCCAGCCAUGCCGCGUGAGUGAAGAAGGCCU